AGACAAGGCCAAUAUAGCUUCGCAAUAAACCUGGCAUCGCUAAGGAAUUGAGUUUUCCUGACUUGACCAGCAGCUAGAAUUGGUGUUGAAAUGGAGACAAACGUAUGCUGUCUUUUCCCGUAUCACCUUUAUGGAUCCUUAUGCUGCAAUGACAUUUUAAUGCAAAACCUGAAGCCACAAGUGCCGCAGCAGAAGAUGAACUCCCCGGAGCUGCAGUUAAAGGGGGGGUCCCACUGCCCCAUCACGUCAAAGUAGCCCCUGCAGAAGUCCGGGGUGGGAGGUGGCUCAGA